rnacentral:rRNA from 1 species
UACGUAGGGCGCAAGCGUUGUCCGGAAUUAUUGGGCGUAAAGAGCUCGUAGGCGGCUUGUCACGUCGGGUGUGAAAGCCCGGGGCUUAACCCCGGGUCUGCAUUCGAUACGGGCUAGCUAGAGUGUGGUAGGGGAGAUCGGAAUUCCUGGUGUAGCGGUGAAAUGCGCAGAUAUCAGGAGGAACACCGGUGGCGAAGGCGGAUCUCUGGGCCCAUUACUGACGCUGAGGAGCGAAAGCGUGGGGAGCGAACAGG